AUUGAACGCUGGCGGCAUGCUUUACACAUGCAAGUCGAACGGUAACAGGCCGCAAGGUGCUGACGAGUGGCGAACGGGUGAGUAAUGCAUCGGAACGUGCCCAGUCGUGGGGGAUAACGCAGCGAAAGCUGCGCUAAUACCGCAUACGAUCUAUGGAUGAAAGCGGGGGACCGUAAGGCCUCGCGCGAUUGGAGCGGCCGAUGUCAGAUUAGGUAGUUGGUGGGGUAAAGGCUCACCAAGCCAACGAUCUGUAGCUGGUCUGAGAGGACGACCAGCCAGACUGGGACUGAGACACGGCCCAGACUCCUACGGGAGGCAGCAGUGGGGAAUUUUGGACAAUGGGCGCAAGCCUGAUCCAGCAAUGCCGCGUGCAGGAGGAAGGCCUUCGGGUUGUAAACUGCUUUUGUACGGAACGAAACGGUCCUGGUUAAUACCCGGGGCUAAUGACGGUACCGUAAGAAUAAGCACCGGCUAACUACGUGCCAGCCGCCGCGGUAAAAC
rnacentral:rRNA from 1 species